CAAGGAAUUUUCGGCAAUGGGCGCAAGCCUGACCGAGCAACGCCGCGUGGAGGAUGACGGCUUUCGGGUUGUAAACUCCUUUUCGGGGGAAUGACCACCGACAGUACCCCCGGAAUAAGCCCCGGCUAACUCUGUGCCAGCAGCCGCGGUAAGACAGAGGGGGCAAGCGUUGUCCGGAAUCACUGGGCGUAAAGCGCACGCAGGCGGCACGGUAAGUGGUGUGUGACAGCGGACGGCUUAACCGUCCGAGGCCAUGCCAGACUGCCGCGCUUGAGCCGUGCAGAGGUCAGCGGAAUUGCCGGUGUAGGAGUGACAUCCGUAGAGACCGGCAGGAACACCGAAGGGGAAGCCAGCUGACUGGGCACGUGCUGACGCUCAGGUGCGAUAGCGUGGGGAGCAAACC
rnacentral:rRNA from 1 species